rnacentral:misc_RNA from 1 species
GAUGGAACGUAGCGAAAUGCGAUACGUAAUGUGAAUUGCAGAAUUCAGUGAAUCAUCGAGUCUUUGAACGCACAUUGCGCCCCCUGGUAUUCCGGGGGGCAUGCCUGUCCGAGCGUCAUUGCUGCCCUCAAGCACGGCUUGUGUGUUGGGCCUCCGCCCCCCGGCUCCCGGGGGGCGGGCCCGAAAGGCAGCGGCGGCACCGCGUCCGGUCCUCGAGCGUAUGGGGCUUCGUCACCCGCUCCGUAGGCCCGGCCGGCGCCCGCCGGCGACCCCCCUCAAUCUUUCCAGGUUGACCUCGGAUCAGGUAGGGAUACCCGCUGAACUUAAGCAUAUCAAUAAGCGGAGGA